rnacentral:piRNA from 1 species
UAGCACUCCUAGGACUACUCGGCAGG